rnacentral:rRNA from 1 species
CCGCACGGGUGAGUAACACGUAUCCAACCUGCCGUCUACUCUUGGACAGCCUUCUGAAAGGAAGAUUAAUACAAGGUGGCAUCAUGAGUCCGCAUGUUCACAUGAUUAAAGGUAUUCCGGUAGACGAUGGGGAUGCGUUCCAUUAGAUAGUAGGCGGGGUAACGGCCCACCUAGUCUUCGAUGGAUAGGGGUUCUGAGAGGAAGGUCCCCCACAUUGGAACUGAGACACGGUCCAA